UGUUGAAAUUGUAAUUAAAAUACAGUAUUUGUAAUUGAUAGUAAUUAAUGAAUAUAAUGACGGCUGUAACGUAUGAUGUAAUUGUUGUGACGUCUUGAAUUAACGAACAAUUCUUUCGAUUGUUCGACUUGACUUUUGUUGGACACUAUCCAUAUUUUUGUAUAGAUUUCGAUGAGAAAGAUCUCCGAAAGGUCUACGAUGCGGACCUAUUAGUCUCCGUUCUCGAAUUUUAAAAUAUGAGGAGCUUGAAAAAAGGCACACAAAGUACUAAGAAUAAAAAAUAAACCAUUAGACAUAUUAGAAGAAGUCUUUAGAGAAAUCUGGUCCACGACUACAGGAAAGAAGGAUAUGUUGCUUCAAUAGAAUACAACGAUUUGACAUCUAUAGGCCUACCUACUUUAUAUUAUAUUUUAUAAAUUUAUAAGACAUAUUUUACAAAAAAUUGUAAUUAAAACAUUUGUAAUUUGUAGUUUUUAAUUAAUUUAUAGGCUAUGUCAUGCGCGACGUAAUUGAUGUGACGACAGCAAUUGUUUCGAAUUCUUCUAUUUGUUUAUUGUUGAACACCAUCUUAAGACGGAGAUUUCUCCAGAAAUUUUACCCUUUUUCUGGUUCCCUUUUGACACUUUUGAAAGGAUUUUGGUGAGAAAAUUCUCAAUUUUAUACAAUUGUAUCUAACACAUAUAAUUCAAGUUCUCGUUUUGUGUUCUAUGCAUAAAGUUUAUUUCAUACUUUAAUGUAAGAGAAAGUGCGAGUAUUCAGGUAAUAGAUUUAUUUUCAGGUUACGGUGUUACUAACAGGACGUGGUGGGAUGGCGAAUGGCCUCGCUGUCUCUACAAAAUGCCACAAUAGUCCUAUGACGGUAACACAACGUGGCAACAUCAUGCCGCCACUAAAAUAAGCAUGAAACCUAUUUAAUGUAAGAGAAAGUGCGAGUAUUCAGGUAAUAGAUUUAUUUUCAGGUUACGGUG